rnacentral:rRNA from 1 species
AACGAACGCUGGCGGCAGGCUUAACACAUGCAAGUCGAGCGAUUAAAGCUCUCUUCGGAGAGUGCAUAGAGUGGCGCACGGGUGAGUAACACGUAAGUAAUCUACCCUCGAGUGGGGAAUAACGUCCGGAAACGGGCGCUAAUACCGCAUAAUGCAGCGGCAUCAUAAGAUGACAGUUGUUAAAGAUUUAUCGCUUGAGGAGGGGCUUGCGGCAGAUUAGCUAGUUGGUAAGGUAACGGCUUACCAAGGCUACGAUCUGUAACCGGUCUUAGAGGACGGUCGGUCACACUGACACUGAAUAACGGGUCAGACUCCUACGGGAGGCAGCAGUCGGGAAUUUUGGGCAAUGGGCGAAAGCCUGACCCAGCAACGCCGCGUGAAGGAUGAAGUAUUUCGGUAUGUAAACUUCGAAAGAAUAGGAAGAAUUAAUGACGGUACUAUUUAUAAGGUCCGGCUAACUACGUGCCAGCCGCCGCAGUAAUAC